rnacentral:rRNA from 1 species
UACGUAGGGUGCAAGCGUUAAUCGGAAUUACUGGGCGUAAAGCGUGCGCAGGCGGUUAUGCAAGACAGAUGUGAAAUCCCCGGGCUUAACCUGGGAACUGCAUUUGUGACUGCAUAGCUGGAGUGCGGCAGAGGGGGAUGGAAUUCCGCGUGUAGCAGUGAAAUGCGUAGAUAUGCGGAGGAGCACCGAUGGCGAAGGCAAUCCCCUGGGCCUGCACUGACGCUCAUGCACGAAAGCGUGGGGAGCAAACAGG